rnacentral:rRNA from 1 species
GACGGAGGAUGCAAGUGUUAUCCGGAAUCACUGGGCGUAAAGCGUCUGUAGGUGGUCAAAUAAGUCAACUGUUAAAUCUUGAGGCUCAACCUCAAAACCGCAGUCGAAACUAUUAGACUAGAGUAUAGUAGGGUAAAGGGAAUUUCCAGUGGAGCGGUGAAAUGCGUAGAGAUUAGGAAAGAACACCGAUGGCGAAGGCACUUUACUGGGCUAUGACUAACACUCAGAGACGAAAGCUAGGGUAGCAAAUGGG